UACGAAGGUGGCAAGCGUUGUUCGGAUUUACUGGGCGUACAGGGAGCGUAGGCGGUUGGAUAAGCCCUCCGUGAAAUCUCCAGGCUUAACCUGGAAAGUGCAGAGGGGACUGUUCAGCUAGAGGAUGGGAGAGGAGCGCGGAAUUCCCGGUGUAGCGGUGAAAUGCGUAGAGAUCGGGAGGAAGGCCAGUGGCGAAGGCGGCGCUCUGGAACAUUUCUGACGCUGAGGCUCGAAAGCGUGGGGAGCAAACAGG
rnacentral:rRNA from 1 species